AAAACAUGCUAACAAUUUGAAUGUAGCGCUGUGAAUUUUGGGGGAUUUGCGUUUGUUGCGUUGUCGUCUGCCAGUCCGACGCCAUAACGUCCAUUUUGUUGGUUUGUUUUGUGUGUUGCCGGUUUUGUUAAAAAUCCAUCGAAUUUCGACGAAAUGAGCCGCCGCUCAGAAACCACAACGAAAGUUUUCGUGGGCAGUCUGCCCAACGGAGUAACCACAGACGACUUGCGUUCCCUUUUCGCCCCCUAUGGGGCUAUCGCCGAAUGCGAUAUAGCUAACCGGUGCGGUUUCCUCCACCUUGAAGACCACGACUUGGCCAUGAAAGCCAUUGCGGAACUCAACGGUACCAAUUUCAUGGGUGGGCGAAUUUCCGUCGAAAAGGGGCGGGUGAAACCCAGACGGGGGCCUGGGGGCGGCGGCCCGAUGCGCGGGGGCAAAGACCGGGGCGGGCCUUACGCACGAAGCGACUUUCGCGGGCCUCCACACCGAAACGGGGGCUUUGGUGGUGGGCGUGACUACCCGCCUUAUGGGGGCGGUGACAGGUUUGGGGCGUAUGACAGGCCGCCCCAAAGGGGCGGCUACGACGGGGCGUACGCCGACCGGAGGCCGCCGUACGAUGACCGUCGGGGGGCUGCGUUCGGCGCCGAGAGGAGGCCCUUCAGUAGCGAUUUUGAUCGACGUCCGUAUGCUGACGCCCGUCCUGGGGGCUUCCCGGAGGUGCCACGAGUCGAUUACGACGAUCGGCGACCCCCUGCUGCGGAAUUCGACGAUCGGAGGCCGCUUUUAGCCGACAGGAGGCCCCUUUUGGACCAGCAGGGGCCGCCGCCGCCGAGGGGACCCGCCGCGUUUGACAGGGGGGCUCCCGUGGCCGAGCUGUACAGUCGGAGGGACCAAGUGCCUAAGCCAUUGGGCGGGGCUGGGGGUUUUCCGGAUCGUGUCGGUUACGCAACGGCGUCAGCCAAUGGUUACACAGCGGGGUACGGUAGUCCAGCGGCUCCGCCAACUGGCGGUUACGGAACGCCGGCUCCUCCAACCGCUGGGUAUGGCACAGGGGCGGGGACUUUCGGUAGUCCCGCCCCUCAAGGCGCAUACAGCGAUGCUAGAGGUUACGGAACGGCUGCUGCGUAUGGAACACCGGGCGGUUACGGUGACACCUACGGGGCGGGUGCUGGAGGGCGUGGCUCGUAUGAUGCCGCCUACCCUCCACUACCCCAACAGAGAGGAGGGAAGUUUUGGUCCAAGAUUUGAGACUGAAAGUUUUGCCUAAUUUGGAGAUAUACAUAAAAUAUAUAAAUAUUAGAUUUUUUAUCAUAUAAAUAAUGUACUAAAUAAUAUAUUUGAUGGUGUUUUCACUCUAUAUAAGGUAAUCUGGCGUUGCGUUUGGAGCGACUUCUGUGUGCGGUACCUCUUUUAAAAGCGGAAACGAUAGACUCACUAGAUUUAGUCUUCUUUUUUUUUCUAAGGAUGUGCGGAAUUUGGCUAAAUUUGGGUAAAUUUUUUCGGUGCGGUAGGAGUGUGUGGUGCGCCUUAUAUAGAUUGGAAAUGGAGCAAACGUCUACCUGAUUUUGCAUAAUAGAUUAGUGUUUUUUUAUUGUUACAUUAGAUUAGUUUUAAGUCCGGUUGGGUAGACUUUUUCCGAUUGUUUUAUUCAAGCUAUAAAUGUGAAAGGAGAAAAAACGCAAUUUAAGCGCUCUAUAUUUUUAAUUUGCGGUGGCGGCAGAUUACGACUAAGCGGUAGAGUGACAAUAUUUAAAAAUCUGCGUGUUUUCUCUAAUUUUUUACACAAAAGUGGCGCCCCUCAUACCUUUUUUACUAUUCUGGAAUUAAAACAAGCUUGCGUUGACAUCUAGAUUUUAUUAUACGAAUUUCCUUUUUGUGAAUUAUGUAUAGUUGGCAUGAUAUAAGUACACACAAUAAAAAAAUGUUUUUUUAUUAAAUCGGUUAUUUAUCACCAAACCUCUGACUGAGUGCGUAACACACGCCUAAAGUUGGCGGAAAUUGAACAAAAAUUCGAUUCCGUUGUCGUCUUUCGCAAACGAGUCUAAAAUUCACGGCGCUUUAAUCAGAUCCGUCUCGAUUAACCAAAAAAACUUCAAUCAAAUUUCUACAAUUACUUACUAGUUUUUUCUUCUUCAAAGUUGUAAAAAUCAAAUUAUUUAAAAGAUUAAUCAAAAUCGACCGAUAAAAGUCUAGUUUAGUCAUUACAAAAAAAAGUUUGCGUUGUAUAAUCCAUUUACGAUGUUUUGAAUUUUGAUAAGUCUUGGCUAUUAUUUAAAUUUAAUUGUUUAAAUUAGAAUGCGGCCCGUCAAAAACGUUUUAAGCGCUCGAAAAAGGCAAAAAUGAGACCAUUCGCAACUCAAUUCGGCGCAUUUUUAAAUUUUGCGGAGCAAUUCAAUGUAAAAACUUAUUUUUUACGCAAUUUCGCACAACAUGCAACGGCAAAGGAUUCAUUUUCGCCCCAAAAUAAUAAUUUUUCCAAUCGAUUUAGCGAAUAUUUAUCUUCAAACGUGCUUCAGCGGUCGCAAUAGAAAAAUUCACAAUUUAACAAAAAAUUAUUGCGUUUCUAGCUGUUAACACGAAAAAUGGCAAAAAUAACGUCAUACUUAGUGAAAUUUCGGACCGGUUUUUGCGGAAUCUCUAGUUUCGUCAAUUUGACUUUGAAAACGGAAAUGGUCUUAAUUUUAUGAAGUUUCGUUAAAACAGUUUGCCCUAAAACAAGACUCAGCAACCCUUAUUCAAAAACAUCCUGAAUGGAUUCUUUUCGUAUAAUUAAAUUUCAAAGUUCAGUAACAGGCACAGCUUGGCAUUGUUUAAAUCACGUCUUAGCCCAAACAUUGAGCGACUUUUGUAGAAAAUCGAGUUUUACUAAACCCAACGCCUGAGGAAAAUUCGCACAAAACUCGUUUUGUAAAAUGCGACGUGGACGCCCCCUCGAAGACCCACGUGUGCGUCCCCAUCCAAGGUCCAUUUCGAAAACUAAACUCGCCGCAUUCGUCAAGAAUUGCGUUUUAACAGGUGAGGUACUUGUAUUGUUUUGAGGCACGGAUUUUUGCGUACAAAAACGGAUGCAAAAUUACAAACUCUCCGCUUAAAUAGGAACAAACAACAUUGCCGACACUGAAUUUAUUAUUUUGUUUCGCAGGUGAUCCAAAGGAUGGGCCGUGACUAGUGUUGGUAACCGGUCGGGGAGUCGCAACUUGUCGCGAUCUUUGAAGAAUUGGAAAACUUUGUCCAAGGAGACCUUCACUUCCUUGAAGUAACCCUUGUCUUGGGCUUCCUGAAACGUGAGGAGACUGCCGGUCCGGGUCAGAAGCCGUCCAGAGGGAGUGAACUUCAAGCCUUGCUCUUCCAGAAGUUCUAAUUUUUUUUUGUGUUAUUUUUGUGAUAAAUAAAUGGAAUAAAACCUGA